ensembl:lncRNA
AUGAUCCAAAUAUCUUUGGAAUUCUUCCACUGGCUCUGCUCCUUCUGGGAAAACCUCGAGUUUGAAUUCGCUUUAAGAGAUGGCGCUCAAGAGCAUGACUCGCUCUCUGCUGAAGCUGCUGUCUUACUGCAGUAUCAUCACGCUGGAGCAGGAUGUGUAUCAGUACCUGAAAGGAAACGCUGUCCUCUGAGCCUGUGGGUUCUCUUUCAAGCAUAUGUUUCGGGGUCUCACUAUGGGAUACGCCCCUUCCGCGUAUUCCUCGGAAGCCCAAUUCCAUUACGCCAGCCCCAAUUGGCUGGCAGACAUGACGUUGCGUCAGGGAGUGGCUCCCUCCUCUCGGUAUAAAACAAGCGAUGCAACGUCAUUACGACAUUCAAAUACCUCUUCUCGCUUCACACCAGAAGCCUACCCAACUCUGAUAGCCAUCGACUAGUCUCCACACUGGUUGCUGGCUUAUCAUUCUGGUACUGUGCUUAUAGUCGAUCUAUUGGGUGCGUUUGUAUUUGAGGAAGAGGGGGUUUCUGUCUCCUGGAAGGACAACCCUUUUACUAGCAAAAUGCCCAUGCAAGGGGGGUCUGCACUCGACGUGGAGGGUAUGGAGAAGGAACGCCUUCUUCGCAUUCCCCCCAUGGAGCCUUUAGUCGCAGCACAUCUGCAUCCAAAGCGUACAGCGGAUGCAAACCUAACAUUGCCAUCAAAAGAGGACUGCUUCCAGUCAACCAUGACGGAGCACGCUUACAAAGCAGUCGCUCUCAGUCAGGGCCACGAACGCCAUCUCUCUGCUCACCGCAUACCAGGCGGAGCUACAACAUGAGGUGUCUGUCACGCCAAGUCAGACACAGUGGGAAGAAAUCUGUGUUGUCACAGAUCUCUCGCUCCAUCUUCAGAGAUGUGCAG